GAAAGAUAAACACCAGUCCAAAGGGGAUUAUUCAGGGUCUAGUCAAUACCCCCAAGCAAAGCACGUAUCUCAUUAAGGAAGUUGUGAUAUUUGAAGUUAGGGAAUCAAGUCAAGGAAGAGCACCUGGAAACUUUCUUCAAGAGUGAGAAACAUGUCUGUCUGACUCUGAACUCUCUCCAGUAUUUCACAGGAGGAAAAAAAAAUCACUUGGAGGUUGAAGUCUCUUUCUAGAAGAUAUGCCAGCUGGUCAGAAAUUAGUAAGAAGAAAUGAAGAACACUAAUUUUGGUGGGGAGAAGAUGCAGUCUUGCUACACUGAAAUGCUUUUCUUCAAAGAAAAAAAAAAUCCCAUAGGCUGAAAUUGGACAAGAAAGAGAUUCCUCCCAUUCCAGUAACAGCAGGAAGGCCCUGAUAAAGUGUGGUUUUCUGUAUAACUCUAAGUAAAUUAAACACCAUGAUA